rnacentral:tRNA from 1 species
CGUCCCCAGGUGGGCUCGAACCACCAACCUUUCGGUUAACAGCCGAACGCGCAAGCCGAUUGCGCCACGGAGAC